UUAUCCGGAUUUAUUGGGUUUAAAGGGUGCGUAGNCGGGCUUGUAAGUCAGUGGUGAAAUGCUGUGGCUUAACCAUAGAAUUGCCAUUGAAACUGCAAGUCUUGAGUACAGUUGAGGUGGGCGGAAUGAGUAAUGUAGCGGUGAAAUGCAUAGAUAUUACUCAGAACUCCGAUUGCGUAGGCAGCUUGCUAAACUGUAACUGACGCUGAUGCACGAAAGCGUGGGGAGCGAACAGGAUUAGAUACCCUGGUAGUCCACGCUGUAAACGAUGAGCACUGGUUGUUGGCAAUACACCGUCAGCGACUGAGCGAAAGUAUUAAGUGCUCCACCUGGGGAGUACGUCGGCAACGAUGAAACUCAAAGGAAUUGACGGGGGCCCGCACAAGCGGAGGAACAUGUGGUUUAAUUCGAUGAUACGCGAGGAACCUUACCUGGGCUUAAAUGUAGAGUGCAUUGCUUGGAAACAGGCAUUUUCUUCGGAACUCUUUACAAGGUGCUGCAUGGUUGUCGUCAGCUCGUGCCGUGAGGUGUCGGGUUAAGUCCCAUAACGAGCGCAACCCCUAUUGUUAGUUACCAGCACGUAAUGGUGGGGACUCUAGCAAGACUGCCGGUGUAAACCGUGAGGAAGGUGGGGAUGACGUCAAAUCAGCACGGCCCUUAUGUCCAGGGCUACACACGUGUUACAAUGGCAAGUACAAAGAGCAGCCACCUGGCGACAGGGCGCUAAUCUCAAAAGCUUGCCUCAGUUCGGAUCGAAGUCUGCAACUCGACUUCGUGAAGGUGGAUUCGCUAGUAAUCGCGCAUCAGCCAUGGCGCGGUGAUACGUUCCCGGGCAUUGUACACACCGCCCGUCAAGCCAUGGAAGCCGGGGUACCUGAAGUCCG
rnacentral:rRNA from 1 species